rnacentral:rRNA from 1 species
UGGAUCCAGACUUUGAUUAUGGCUCAGGAUGAACGCUAGCUACAGGCUUAACACAUGCAAGUCGAGGGGAAACGAUAUUGGAAGCUUGCUUCCGAUAGGCGUCGACCGGCGCACGGGUGAGUAACGCGUAUCCAACCUGCCCAUCACUUGGGAAUAACCUUGCGAAAGUAAGACUAAUGCCCAAUGACAUUUAUAGAAGGCGUCUGAAAUGAAUUAAAGAUUUAUCGGUGAUGGAUGGGGAUGCGUCUGAUUAGCUUGUUGGCGGGGUAACGGCCCACCAAGGCGACGAUCAGUAGGGGUUCUGAGAGGAAGGUCCCCCACAUUGGAACUGAGACACGGUCCAAACUCCUACGGGAGGCAGCAGUGAGGAAUAUUGGUCAAUGGGCGAGAGCCUGAACCAGCCAAGUAGCGUGCAGGAUGACGGCCCUAUGGGUUGUAAACUGCUUUUAUAGGGGAAUAAAGUGAGCCACGUGUGGUUUUUUGCAUGUACCCUAUGAAUAAGGACCGGCUAAUUCCGUGCCAGCAGCCGCGGUAAUACGGAAGGUCCGGGCGUUAUCCGGAUUUAUUGGGUUUAAAGGGAGCGUAGGCCGGAGAUUAAGCGUGUUGUGAAAUGUAGAUGCUCAACAUCUGAACUGCAGCGCGAACUGGUUUCCUUGAGUACGCAUAAAGUGGGCGGAAUUCGUGGUGUAGCGGUGAAAUGCUUAGAUAUCACGAAAAACUCCGAUUGCGAAGGCAGCUCACUGGGGCGCAACUGACGCUGAAGCUCGAAAGCGCGGGUAUCGAACAGGAUUAGAUACCCUGGUAGUCCGCGCGGUAAACGAUGGAUGCCCGCUGUUGGGCCAACUGGUUCAGCGGCCAAGCGAAAGCAUUAAGCAUCCCACCUGGGGAGUACGCCGGCAACGGUGCAACUCAAAUGAAUUGACGGA